rnacentral:rRNA from 1 species
ACGGCUCAGUAACACGUGGACAACCUACCCUGAGGAGGGGGAUAACCCCGGGAAACUGGGGAUAAUACCCCAUAGACUAUGGAUGCUGGAAUGCUCUGUAGUUAAAAGGCCCGCCGCCUCAGGAUGGGUCUGCGGCCGAUUAGGUUGUUGUUGGGGUAACGGCCCAACAAGCCUGUAAUCGGUACGGGUUGUGGGAGCAAGAGCCCGGAGAUGGAUUCUGAGACACGAAUCCAGGCCCUACGGGGCGCAGCAGGCGCGAAAACUUUACAAUGCGAGCAAUCGUGAUAAGGGAACUCCGAGUGCCCGUAAAAUCGGGCUGUCCGCCAGUGUAAAUAACUGGUGAAGAAAGGGCCGGGCAAGACCGGUGCCAGCCGCCGCGGUAGUACCGGCGGCUCGAGUGGUGGCCACUAUUACUGGGCUUAAAGCGUUCGUAGCUGGUCUGUUAAGUCUCUGGGGAAAUCCCGUCCGGCUUAACCGGAAGGCGUCUCAGGGAUACUGACAGACUAGGGACCGGAAGAGGUGAGAGGUACUCCAGGGGUAGGAGUGAAAUCCUGUAAUCCUUGGGGGACCACCUGUGGCGAAGGCGUCUCACCAGGACGGCUCCGACAGUGAGGAACGAAAGCUGGGGGAGCAAACCGGAUUAGGUACCCGGGUAGUCCCAGCUGUAAACGAUGCGCGUUAGGUGUAUCGGUGACCACGAGUCACCGAGGUGCCGAAGAGAAAUCGUGAAACGCGCCGCCUGGGAAGUACGGUCGCAAGGCUGAAACUUAAAGGAAUUGGCGGGGGAGCAC